GCGUUGGUGGUUUAGUGGUAAAAUUCAUCGUUGCCAUUUCCCGCAGCAUCUUCGAUGAGCCCCGGGUUCGAUUCCCGGCCGACGCA